rnacentral:rRNA from 1 species
UGCGUAGGGUGCAAGCGUUGUCCGGAAUUACUGGGCGUAAAGGGCUCGUAGGCGGCCAACUAAGUCGGAUGUGAAAUCCCCAGGCUUAACCUGGGAACUGCAUCCGAUACUGGAUGGCUUGAGUCCGGGAGAGGGAUGCGGAAUUCCAGGUGUAGCGGUGAAAUGCGUAGAUAUCUGGAGGAACACCGGUGGCGAAGGCGGCAUCCUGGACCGACACUGACGCUGAGGAGCGAAAGCCAGGGGAGCAAACGGG